rnacentral:rRNA from 1 species
AUUGAACGCUGGCGGCAGGCCUAACACAUGCAAGUCGAACGAGUGGCGGACAGGUGAGUAAUAUGUCGGAAACUGCCUGCUGGCGGGGGAUAAAUAAGGUAAACAGUAGCUAUUACCCCAUACCCUAUGGUGUACCCAGAUGGGAUUAGCUAGUGGUGGGGGUAACGGCUCACCAAGGCGACGAUCCCUAGCUGGUCUGAGAGGAUGACCAGCCACACUGGAACGGAGACACGGUCCAGACUCCUACGGGAGGCAGCAGUGGGGAAUAUUGCACAAUGGGGGAAAUCCUGAUGCAGCCAUGCCGCGUGUAUGAAGAAGGCCUUCGGGUUGUAAAGUACUUUCAGCGGGGAGGCGUUACCCGCAGAAGAAGCACCGGCUAACUCCGUGCCAGCAGCCGCGGUAAUAC